GGCGCUUCUGGUGCUUGGUGCCGACGGGUGAGUAAUGUAGCGGUGGAGCUGCCCGUACGGAAGGGGAUACCAGUUGGAAACGACUGUCCAUACCACCUAACGCUAAACCCACCAAAUUAUGGGACCUUCGUGCCGUAUGCUGUCAAAAGGGCCUAUGUGGUAUUAUCUAGAUGGUGGGGUAACGGCUCACCUAGGCGACGAUGCCUAGCUGGUUUGAGAGGAUGAUCAGCCACCCUGCAACUGAGACGCUGUCCCAACUCCUACCGGAGGCACCGGCCGGGAAUCUUGGACAAGGGGCGCAAGCGUGAUCCCCCCAUGCCACGAGUGUGAAGAAGGCCUUCGGGUUGUAAAUCACUUUCGGCUUCGAAGAAGGGGUGUGUGUUAAUAGGGCACAACUUUGACGUUACUCACUGAAGAAGCCCCGGCUAACUCCAUGCCAACAGCCACGGUUAUACAGAGGGUGCAAGCCUUAAUCAUAAUUACGGGGCGUAAAUUGCACGUAAGUAUUGUGUUAAAUUGGAUGUGAAAGCCCCCCUUUCAUCCUGGGAAUUGCAUCCCAGACUGGCCCGCUAGAGUAUGUGAAAAGUGGGUAAAAUUCC
rnacentral:rRNA from 1 species